UACGUAGGGGGCAAGCGUUGUCCGGAUUUAUUGGGCGUAAAGAGCGUGUAGGCGGCCAGGUAGGUCCGUUGUGAAAACUCGAGGCUCAACCUCGAGACGCCGAUGGAAACCAUCUGGCUAGAGUCCGGAAGAGGAGAGUGGAAUUCCCGGUGUAGCGGUGAAAUGCGCAGAUAUCGGGAAGAACACCCGUGGCUAAGGCGGCUCUCUAGUACGGUACUGACGCUGAGACGCGAAAGCUAGGGGAGCGAACAGG
rnacentral:rRNA from 1 species